AACGAACGCUGGCGGCAUGCCUAACACAUGCAAGUCGAACGAAGCCUUCGGGCUUAGUGGCGCACGGGUGCGUAACGCGUGGGAAUCUGCCCUUUGGUUCGGAAUAACAGUUGGAAACGACUGCUAAUACCGGAUGAUGACGAAAGUCCAAAGAUUUAUCGCCAGAGGAUGAGCCCGCGUAGGAUUAGCUAGUUGGUGUGGUAAAGGCGCACCAAGGCGACGAUCCUUAGCUGGUCUGAGAGGAUGAUCAGCCACACUGGGACUGAGACACGGCCCAGCCUCCUACGGGAGGCAGCAGUGGGGGAAAUUGGACAAUGGGCGAAAGCCUGAUCCAGCAAUGCCGCGUGAGUGAUGAAGGCCCUAGGGUUGUAAAGCUCUUUUACCCGGGAUGAUAAUGACAGUACCGGGAGAAUAAGCCCCGGCUAACUCCGUGCCAGCCGCCGCCGUAA
rnacentral:rRNA from 1 species